rnacentral:rRNA from 1 species
UUCGGAUUGUAUAGCACUUUAAGUGGGAGGAAGGGCAGUAAGUUAAUNCCUUGCUGUUUUGACGUUACCGACAGAAUAAGCNCCGGCUAACUNUGUGCCAGCAGCCGCGGUAAUACAUAGGGNGCAAGCGUUAAUUGGAAUUACUGGGCAUAAAGCGCGCGUAGGUGGUUUGUUAAGUUGGAUGUGAAAGCCCCGGGCUCAACCUGGGAACUGCAUCCAAANCUGGCAAGCUAGAUUACGGUAGAGGGUGGUGGAAUUUCCUGUGUAGCGGUGAAANGCGUAGAUAUAGGAAGGANCACCAGUGGCGAAGGCGACCACCUGGACUGAUACUGACACUGAGGUGCGAAAGCGUGGGGAGCAAACAGGAUCCGAUACCCUGGUAGUNCACGCCGUAAACGAUGUCAACUAGCCGUUGGAAUCCUUGAGAUUUUAGUGGCGCAGCUAACGCAUUAAGUUGACCGCCUGGGGAG